GCCUCUGUAGGUCAAUCGGAGAUCGCUUCGAAUAUGUAUCCCGAGAGUCUACAGCUUUUCGAAGAGAUGCGGGUUCGAUUCCCGCCGGAGGCU